GGGGUGGAAAGGUAGGCCUAUUCUGUCUGGGGUGGAAAGGUAGGCCUACAAUGUCUGGGGUGGAAAGGUAGGUCCUACUCUGUCUGGGGUGGAAAGGUAGGCCCUCCUCUGUCUGGGGUGGAAAGGUAGGCCUACAAUGUCUGGGGUGGAAAGGUAGGUCCUACUCUGUCUGGGGUGGAAAGGUAGGCCUACUCUGUCUGGGGUGGAAAGGUAGGCCUACUCUGUCUGGGGUGGAAAGGUAGGCCUACUCUGUCUGGGGUGGAAAGGUAGGCCUCCUCUGUCUGGGGUGGAAAGGUAGGCCUACUCUGUCUGGGGUGGAAAGGUAGGUCCUACUCUGUCUGGGGUGGAAAGGUAGGUCCUACUCUGUCUGGGGUGGAAAGGUAGGUCCUACUCUGUCUGGGGUGGAAAGGUAGGUCCUACUCUGUCUGGG
ensembl:lncRNA